GACGAGCGGCGAACGGGUGCGUAAUACAUGGGAAUCUGCCUUUUAGUGGGGAAUAACCCGGCGAAAGCCGGGCUAAUGCCGCAUAAGAUCUUCGGAUGAAAGCGGGGGAUCGUAAGACCUCGCGCUGAUAGAUGAGCCCAUGCCGGAUUAGCUAGUUGGUGAGGUAACGGCUCACCAAGGCGACGAUCCGUAGCUGGUCUGAGAGGACGGCCAGCCACACUGGGACUGAGACACGGCCCAGACUCCUACGGGAGGCAGCAGUGGGGAAUAUUGGACAAUGGGCGCAAGCCUGAUCCAGCGACGCCGCGUGUGUGAAGAAGGCCUGCGGGUUGUAAAGCACUUUCGAUGGGAACGAAAUGUGCCGGGUUAAUACCCCGGUAAGCUGACGUUACUCAAUGAAGAAGCACCGGCUAACUCUGUGCCAGCAGCCGCGGUAAUACAGAGGGUGCGAGCGUUAAUCGGAAUUACUGGGCGUAAAGCGCACGUAGGUGGCGACGUAAGUCGGGUGUGAAAGCCCCGGGCUCAACCUGGGAAUUGCAUUCGA
rnacentral:rRNA from 1 species